UAAUACGAAGGGGGCUAGCGUUGUUCGGAUUUACUGGGCGUAAAGCGCACGUAGGCGGGUCGUUAAGUCAGGGGUGAAAUCCCGGAGCUCAACUCCGGAACUGCCUUUGAUACUGGCGACCUUGAGGCUGGAAGAGGUUAGUGGAAUUCCCAGUGUAGAGGUGAAAUUCGUAGAUAUUGGGAAGAACACCAGUGGCGAAGGCGGCUAACUGGUCCAGAUCUGACGCUGAGGUGCGAAAGCGUGGGGAGCAAACAGG
rnacentral:rRNA from 1 species